GCCCGCAUAGAUCAGGGCUAGAUCAUCUCUCCACACUGGUGGGCACGUAUCAAUGUCAUUGGUACUGAGAAAACGGGGGUUUAAAUCCUCCUGCGGGCA